UACGGGGGGGGCAAGCGUUGUUCGGAAUUACUGGGCGUAAAGGGCUCGUAGGCGGCCAACUAAGUCAGACGUGAAAUCCCUCGGCUUAACCGGGGAACUGCGUCUGAUACUGGAUGGCUAGAGGUUGGGAGAGGGAUGCGGAAUUCCAGGUGUAGCGGUGAAAUGCGUAGAUAUCAGGAGGAACACCGGUGGCGAAGGCGGGUCUCUGGGCCGAUACUGACGCUGAGGAGCGAAAGCGUGGGGAGCGAACAGG
rnacentral:rRNA from 1 species